rnacentral:rRNA from 1 species
CACAUGCAAGUCGAGCGGAACGAGUUAUCUGAACCUUCGGGGAACGAUAACGGCGUCGAGCGGCGGACGGGUGAGUAAUGCCUAGGAAAUUGCCCUGAUGUGGGGGAUAACCAUUGGAAACGAUGGCUAAUACCGCAUGAUGCCUACGGGCCAAAGAGGGGGACCUUCGGGCCUCUCGCGUCAGGAUAUGCCUAGGUGGGAUUAGCUAGUUGGUGAGGUAAGGGCUCACCAAGGCGACGAUCCCUAGCUGGUCUGAGAGGAUGAUCAGCCACACUGGAACUGAGACACGGUCCAGACUCCUACGGGAGGCAGCAGUGGGGAAUAUUGCACAAUGGGCGCAAGCCUGAUGCAGCCAUGCCGCGUGUGUGAAGAAGGCCUUCGGGUUGUAAAGUACUUUCAGUCGUGAGGAAGGCGGCGUCGUUAAUAGCUGCGUUGUUUGACGUUAGCGACAGAAGAAGCACCGGCUAACUCCGUGCCAGCAGCCGCGGUAAUACGGAGGGUGCGAGCGUUAAUCGGAAUUACUGGGCGUAAAGCGCAUGCAGGUGGUUUGUUAAGUCAGAUGUGAAAGCCCGGGGCUCAACCUCGGAAUAGCAUUUGAAACUGGCAGACUAGAGUACUGUAGAGGGGGGUAGAAUUUCAGGUGUAGCGGUGAAAUGCGUAGAGAUCUGAAGGAAUACCGGUGGCGAAGGCGGCCCCCUGGACAGAUACUGACACUCAGAUGCGAAAGCGUGGGGAGCAAACAGGAUUAGAUACCCUGGUAGUCCACGCCGUAAACGAUGUCUACUUGGAGGUUGUGGCCUUGAGCCGUGGCUUUCGGAGCUAACGCGUUAAGUAGACCGCCUGGGGAGUACGGUCGCAAGAUUAAAACUCAAAUGAAUUGACGGGGGCCCGCACAAGCGGUGGAGCAUGUGGUUUAAUUCGAUGCAACGCGAAGAACCUUACCUACUCUUGACAUCCAGAGAACUUUCCAGAGAUGGAUUGGUGCCUUCGGGAACUCUGA